UGGGGAAUAUUGCACAAUGGGGGAAACCCUGAUGCAGCGACGCCGCGUGAGUGAAGAAGUAUCUCGGUACGUAAAGCUCUAUCGGCAGGGAAGAAGAAGGACGGUACCUGACUAAGAAGCCCCGGCUAACUACGUGCCAGCAGCCGCGGUAAUACGUAGGGGGCAAGCGUUAUCCGGAUUUACUGGGUGUAAAGGGAGCGUAGACGGCGCGGCAAGUCCGAAGUGAAAGCCCGGGGCCCAACCCCGGGACUGCUUUGGAAACUGUCGGGCUGGAGUGCAGGAGAGGUAAGUGGAAUUCCUAGUGUAGCGGUGAAAUGCGUAGAUAUUAGGAGGAACACCAGUGGCGAAGGCGGCUUACUGGACUGUAACUGACGUUGAGGCUCGAAAGCGUGGGGAGCAAACAGG
rnacentral:rRNA from 1 species